rfam:TPA: Bos taurus chromosome 14, whole genome shotgun sequence.
UCCCUGGUGGUCCAGUGGUUAAGACUCUGAACUCUGAAUUCAUGGGACCCAGGUUCGUUCCCUGGUCAGGGAA